GGGGCUAUAGCUCAGCUGGGAGAGCGCUUGACUGGCAGUCAAGAGGUCAGGGGUUCGAAUCCCCUUAGCUCCA
rnacentral:tRNA from 1 species